UCGAGAAUUUUUCUCAAUGGGGGAAACCCUGAAGGAGCGACGCCGCGUGGAGGAUGAAGGCUUUCGGGUUGUAAACUCCUGUCAUUUGGGAACAAGGUAAUGCGGUUAACUGCCGCGUUAUUGAUAGUACCAGAAGAGGAAGAGACGGCUAACUCUGUGCCAGCAGCCGCGGUAAUACAGAGGUCUCAAGCGUUGUUCGGAUUCAUUGGGCGUAAAGGGUGCGUAGGUGGCACGGUAAGUCGGGUGUGAAAUCUCGGAGCUUAACUCCGAAAUUGCAUUCGAUACUGCCGUGCUCGAGGACUGGAGAGGAGACUGGAAUUCAUGGUGUAGCAGUGAAAUGCGUAGAGAUCAUGAGGAAGACCAGUGGCGAAGGCGGGUCUCUGGACAGUUCCUGACACUGAGGCACGAAGGCCAGGGGAGCAAACGGGAUUAGAUACCCCCGUAGUCC
rnacentral:rRNA from 1 species